AUCCUUCCGGUUUAUGGUCAGUGAUGAAUGGGAGCGGCACGCGCGUGCGUGAGAUGUGCGCCCUGUGUUACGCACGGCACAGCCCCUUCUGAGC
rnacentral:snoRNA from 1 species